UACGUAGGUGGCAAGCGUUGUCCGGAAUUAUUGGGCGUAAAGCGCGCGCAGGCGGCCUCUUAAGUCUGAUGUGAAAGCCCCCGGCUCAACCGGGGAGGGCCAUUGGAAACUGGGAGGCUUGAGUAUAGGAGAGAAGAGUGGAAUUCCACGUGUAGCGGUGAAAUGCGUAGAGAUGUGGAGGAACACCAGUGGCGAAGGCGACUCUUGGCCUAUAACUGACGCUGAGGCGCGAAAGCGUGGGGAGCAACAGG
rnacentral:rRNA from 1 species